CGCCCCAGCCCCACCCCCACACCGCAGCAGCAGCCACCGCCACCUCUCCCUUCUGUGCUCUUUCCUCCUCCUGUUUUCUCUUCCCUCCUCCUCCUCGCCUCCUUUUCUCCUCCUCCUCCGGCGCUGACGCUCGCGUAGGGCCCUGGCGUCAGACGCGCGGGGGCGGGGCGAGUGCGGCGGGGGGUAUAAGUAGAGGGUGCAGGAGGCGGUGCUUCCCCUUCUCCCCGGCGGUUAGUGCUGAGAGUGCGGAGUGUGUGCUCCGGGCUCGGAACACACAUUUAUUAUUAAAAAAUCCAAAAAAAAUCUAAAAAAAUCUUUCAAAAAACCAAAAAAAAAUUACAAAAAAUCCGCGUCUCCCCGCCGGAGACUUUUAUUUUUUUUCCUUCCUCUUUUAUAAAAUAACCCGGUGAAGCAGCCGAGACCGACCCGCCCGCCCGCGGCCCCGCAGCAGCUCCAAGAAGGAACCAAGAGACCGAGGCCUUCCCGCCGCCCGGACCCGACACCGCCACCCGCGCUCCCCGCCGGCACUCGGCCUCAGCGGCAGCGGAUCGACCCCGUCCUGCGGCCGUUGAGUAGUUUUCGAUUCCGGUGGAUUUUUGUCCCUCUGCGCUUACCCCCGCUCCCCUCCCCCCGGCUCCGGCCCCCGGCCCCGGCACUCGUUCUCCUCCGCUCACGGAAAGGUCGCGGCCUGUGGCCCCGCGGGCAGCCGUGCCGAGAUGAACCCCAGCGCCCCCAGCUACCCCAUGGCCUCGCUCUACGUGGGGGACCUGCACCCCGACGUGACCGAGGCGAUGCUCUACGAGAAGUUCAGCCCGGCCGGGCCCAUCCUCUCCAUCCGGGUCUGCAGGGACAUGAUCACCCGCCGCUCCUUGGGCUACGCGUAUGUGAACUUCCAGCAGCCGGCGGACGCGGAGCGUGCUUUGGACACCAUGAAUUUUGAUGUUAUAAAGGGCAAGCCAGUACGCAUCAUGUGGUCUCAGCGUGAUCCAUCACUUCGCAAAAGUGGAGUAGGCAACAUAUUCAUUAAAAACCUGGACAAAUCCAUUGAUAAUAAAGCACUGUAUGAUACAUUUUCUGCUUUUGGUAACAUUCUUUCAUGUAAGGUGGUUUGUGAUGAAAAUGGUUCUAAGGGCUAUGGAUUUGUACACUUUGAAACACAGGAAGCAGCUGAAAGAGCUAUUGAAAAAAUGAAUGGGAUGCUCCUAAAUGAUCGUAAAGUAUUUGUUGGACGAUUUAAGUCUCGUAAAGAACGGGAAGCUGAGCUUGGAGCUAGGGCAAAAGAGUUCACCAAUGUUUACAUCAAGAAUUUUGGAGAAGACAUGGAUGAUGAGCGCCUGAAGGAUCUCUUUGGCAAGUUUGGACCUGCCUUAAGCGUUAAAGUAAUGACUGAUGAAAGUGGGAAAUCCAAAGGAUUUGGAUUUGUAAGCUUUGAAAGGCACGAAGAUGCACAGAAAGCUGUGGAUGAGAUGAAUGGAAAGGAGCUCAAUGGAAAACAGAUUUAUGUUGGCCGAGCUCAGAAAAAAGUGGAACGGCAGACGGAACUCAAGCGCAAAUUUGAGCAGAUGAAGCAAGAUAGGAUCACCAGAUACCAGGGUGUUAACCUUUAUGUGAAAAAUCUUGAUGAUGGUAUUGAUGAUGAACGUCUCCGGAAAGAGUUUUCUCCGUUUGGUACAAUCACUAGUGCAAAGGUUAUGAUGGAGGGUGGUCGCAGCAAAGGAUUUGGUUUUGUAUGUUUCUCCUCCCCAGAAGAAGCCACUAAAGCAGUUACAGAAAUGAACGGUAGAAUUGUGGCCACCAAGCCAUUGUAUGUAGCUUUAGCUCAGCGCAAAGAAGAGCGCCAGGCUCACCUCACUAACCAGUAUAUGCAGAGAAUGGCAAGUGUACGAGCUGUGCCCAACCCUGUCAUCAACCCCUACCAGCCAGCACCUCCUUCAGGUUACUUCAUGGCAGCUAUCCCACAGACUCAGAACCGUGCUGCAUACUAUCCUCCUAGCCAAAUUGCUCAACUAAGACCAAGUCCUCGCUGGACUGCUCAGGGUGCCAGACCUCAUCCAUUCCAAAAUAUGCCCGGUGCUAUCCGCCCAGCCGCUCCUAGACCACCGUUUAGUACUAUGAGACCAGCUUCUUCACAGGUUCCACGAGUCAUGUCAACACAGCGUCUAACACAUCAACACAAACAAUGGGUCCACGUCCUGCUGCUGCUGCUGCUGCAGCCACUCCCGCUGUCCGCACCGUUCCACAGUACAAAUAUGCCGCGGGAGUUCGCAAUCCUCAGCAACAUCUUAAUGCACAGCCACAAGUUACAAUGCAGCAGCCUGCUGUUCAUGUACAAGGUCAGGAACCUUUGACUGCUUCCAUGUUGGCAUCUGCCCCUCCUCAAGAGCAAAAGCAAAUGUUGGGUGAACGGCUGUUUCCUCUUAUUCAAGCCAUGCACCCUACUCUUGCUGGCAAAAUCACUGGCAUGUUGUUGGAGAUUGAUAAUUCAGAACUUCUUCACAUGCUUGAGUCUCCAGAGUCUCUUCGUUCAAAGGUCGAUGAAGCUGUAGCUGUACUACAAGCCCACCAAGCUAAAGAGGCUGCCCAGAAAGCAGUUAACAGUGCCACUGGUGUUCCAACUGUUUAAAAUUGAUCAGGGACCAUGAAAAGAAACUCAUGCUUCACCGAAGAAAAAUAUCUAAACAUCGAAAAACUUAAAUAUUAUGGAAAAAAACAUUGCAAAAUAUAAAAUAAACAAAAAAAGGAAAGGAAACUUUGAACCUUAUGUACCGAGCAAAUGCCAGGUCUAGCAAACAUAAUGCUAGUCCUAGAUUACUUAUUGAUUUUAAAAACAAACAAAAAAACCACAAAAAAAUAGUAAAAUAUAAAAACAAAUUAAUGUUUUAUAGACCCUGGGAAAAAGAAUUUUCAGCAAAGUACAAAAAUUUAAAGCAUUCCUUUCUUUAAUUUUGUAAUUCUUUACUGUGGAAUAGCUCAGAAUGUCAAUUUUGUUUUAAGUAACAGAAUUGAUAACUGAGCAAGGAAACGUAAUUUGGAUUAUAAAAUUCUUGCUUUAAUAAAAAUUCCUUAAACAGUG